UUGUUGCGUGUAAAUUUUGGAAUACAACCGAUUAUUUGUGAUUAUAUGUGAAGAGAAAUUGUUAUGGUUGUAUUCCAAAAUUUACACGCAACAACUACAAAGAGAUGGCAACAGGGAAAUGAAGCAUCCAUCAGAAAAGAGUCGAGGUGUAGGUAACUUUUUUCUUUUUGUGUUGGUUUGAGGGUGUGAGGAGGGGGUGGAAUUAUAACAAAUCAGGAGCAGAACUUCUACAAGCACAACUAAAAUAUCUUAUUGUACUGGCUAGU
rnacentral:misc_RNA from 1 species